rnacentral:rRNA from 1 species
GACGUAGGGCGCGAGCGUUGUCCGGAUUUAUUGGGCGUAAAGAGCUCGUAGGCGGCUUGUUGCGUCGACUGUGAAAACCCGCGGCUUAACUGCGGGCUUGCAGUUGAUACGGGCAGGCUAGAGUUCGGUAGGGGAGACUGGAAUUCCUGGUGUAGCGGUGAAAUGCGCAGAUAUCAGGGGGAACACCGGUGGCGAAGGCGGGUCUCUGGGCCGAUACUGACGCUGAGGAGCGAAAGCGUGGGGAGCGAACAGG